AAGGGGUACGGGGCCAAACAGUCAGGGAAAAGGAGCAUCCAACUUGUUUGAAAUACAAACAUCGAGUGGUACAACAGCUGUUGAUGGCACGUGUCCAAACCUGCAAGCGUUUAUAGUGAGAAAUGGCAUUGUUUAUAUCAAGACGUCACCAAACUGUCAUUUAAUUAUACACCCUGACAGACUGACCACAGGGAGGAACUAAAACUUUCCAACAACGGCUGCAGUUGAUGUUGGAGGGUUAAAGUGUUCAACAGAGGAAAAAGUCGAUAAAACAUUUAUGUACAUAGAAGAAACAGCAAAUAAUGGAAACACAUUAUAAUUGUUUGUCAAUAUAUACUUUUCAUCAACCAUUUCCUAACAACCUACAUUAUCAAUUAAGGCUACCAUUUCGACUAGACAUUAGUAAGAACGCUGAAUAAGUUACAAGAACUGUCUCAGUAAGUCAUGGACAACAGUGUUUAUAAAUACAAAAUACUCGACGGGCUCCAAAAAAAAAAAAAAAAAAAAAUCCUCCAUAUAGCAUUAAUGAGUAUAUGACACAUUGGGUUAAAUGUAAUAAAUCUUAGAACACCCGAUUGACUCCGAAGUUUGAUAUUUCACUAGUUAAACUUGUUUUGUUUAAUUGGAAGAUAUUCACCGCGAGAUGAUGUUUAACUUGGGAAUGUUUCAUCUCCGCCUCAUAAGUUAUCAAAGACAACCAAGACUACACUCUCCAAGUAAAAUACACAAAGACAGGGCAAGGUGUGUGGUAAUGAAGACAAAAAAAAGAAACAAAACAAAGAAGGAGAAACCGGGAGCACCGCCUUAGAAUGGGCAUGUAAAAUAUUGAUCUAUACAUUAUUUUCCUUGCCACUCCGUGUCUAUAUGUUAGUUGCAGCGUCCUUUAUAAUAUUUAUUCAGAUGAUUCCCCAUCCGUGUCUGUGUCAAUUACAGCACCUUUUAUAACAAUUA